rnacentral:tRNA from 1 species
UAUUAUAUGUCAGAUUUUAAUGAAAUGAAUUUAAAAUUCAUUUAUGAUUUUUUUUUAAUUUAUUUUUUAAUUU